CGUGAGAUGUUGGGUUAAGUCCCGCAACGAGCGCAACCCUUAUUGUCAGUUGCCAUCAUUAAGUUGGGCACUCUGGCGAGACUGCGGUGACAAACCGGAGGAAGGUGGGGAUGACGUCAAAUCAUCAUGCCCCUUAUGACCUGGGCUACACACGUGCUACAAUGGACGGUACAACGAGUCGCUAACUCGUGAGGGCAAGCUAAUCUCUUAAAGCCGUUCUCAGUUCGGAUUGCAGGCUGCAACUCGCCUGCA
rnacentral:rRNA from 1 species